AUUCGACGGUCUGUGGGAUUAUUUGGCUUUGUUUAGGACUCCUAAUCCCUCUCUAACAUGUGUUUAAGGCCUUUUAAAGGCCUGUGCGUUAACAGUAGGUGCGAUGGUCUGAUUUUUUGAUGUGGACGAGCCGUACGGAACCCGAGAGAAGAGAGAGAGACCACGCCGCUGAGAUAGAAGGAGCAGGAGGCUCCUGGACAGCGGACACCGGUCACUUCACGGGUUCAGAGGGGUCUUCCAAGAGAGAGAGCUUUUGUGAGAGAGAACUUUCUGUGAGAGAGAAAUUAAACGUACGAGGG
rnacentral:lncRNA from 1 species